rnacentral:rRNA from 1 species
GACGAACGCUGACGGCGUGCUUAACACAUGCAAGUCGAAGGGAGUGGCGAACGGGUGAGUAACACGUGAGUAACCUGCUCUUUUCUUUGGGAUAAGCCUGGGAAACUGGGUCAAAUACUGGAUGGAUUGGGAUGGGCUCGCGGCUUUUCAGCUUGUUGGUGGGGUGCUGGCUUAACAAGGCUUUGACGGGUGGCCGGCCUGAGAGGGGGGUCGGUCACACUGAGACGGAGAAUAGGCCCAGAGUCCUACGGGGGGGGGCAUUGGGGGAUAUGGCACAAUGGACGAAAGUCUGAUGCAGCGACGUCGUGUGGGGGAUGAGGGCCUUCGAGUUGUAAACUCCUUUCGCCCGCGGAAUGGUAGUGGGUAAAGAAGCGCCGGCUAACUACGUGCCAGCAGCCGCGGUAAUAC